rnacentral:lncRNA from 1 species
GCCGGCGGAGGUCGCCGAGGGUCGUGCCCCAUCGACAAGGGGGACCCUUGUGAUGACACUGGGCCGGCCCAGGUAAUCCAGGACGAUCUCCGUCUCGAGAUCCUUGGCUGAGUCACACCCGCAAAGCCCCUUUCCCACGUCACGUUCGCAGGUGGCGGGGUCAGAGCGUGGACAUCUCUGGGAGCCACUGUUCAGCCUUUACGUCAAAUAAACAAGGUGGGGAGGUGGCGAAAGUUCCGGGUUGGGAAGGAACGUCACAGACCAGCUGUGUGGCUCCAGCCGUCUCCUGGCCUCCCUGGGCCUGGUACACACGGGCCUGCUCUCUGCCGGGCGACAGCUCCAGCUGUGGUGUGUGCAGCAUCCAUUCUCUUUUCACUGGUCACAGCUCCUCUGUUCUCCGGGGGAACAGUCCGUCUCUGGCUCUCAGUCCAGGUGCUGCACGUGGAUGUGAACAUCCUCUCCUCUCCAGUCAAGGAUGAGCAAGGGGCGAGCCUGGCCCAUCAGCGUGGGUCAUGACCUUGGCGGGGCCAGUGGUGAGAGCUUUACCUGGAAAUUGGGCCAGGCUCUCUUUCUUCGAGGUGGCGAAGCCAGCAGAAUGAAACCUGGAGCUGCUGGUGGUCGUCCUGCCUCCAGAUAGGAAGACCUUGCUUGAGAGUAGAUCUAUAGAGAAGAAAACAGACUAAGAAGCAGAGGAAGGCCAAUUCCUAUUGACCUUGAGCACCUG